rnacentral:rRNA from 1 species
UGAACGCUGGCGGCAGGUUUGACACAUGCAAGUCGAACGGGAAGCCGGUGCUUGCACCGGUGGAGAGUGGCGAACGGCUGAGUAACACGUAGGAACCUACCCCUCGGACUGGGAUAACGGGCUGAAAGGCCCGCUAAUACCGGAUAUAUUCUUCGGAAGGAAAUGGUCCGCCGCCGAGGGAAGGGCCUGCGGCGCAUUAGCUUGAUGGUGGGGUAAUGGCCUACCAUGGCUAUGAUGCGUAGCUGGUCUGAGAGGACGAUCAGCCAGACUGGGACUGCGACACGGCCCAGACUCCUACGGGAGGCAGCAGUUCAGAAUCUUGCCCAAUGGACGAAAGUCUGAGGCAGCCAUGCCGCGUGUGCGAAGAAGGCCCUCGGGUCGUAAAGCACUGUCAGGAGGGACGAUAAUGACGGUACCUCCAGAGGAAGCCACGGCUAAUUCC